AGACUUAGAAGUUAGAUCUAAAGAUAAAUUUUGUCAACUCUUGUUCAAUUUGCACCAAUUAAUUCUCUCUCUCUCUCUCUCUUUCUCUCUCACGCACACAUAAUCUCACACACAUAGCAACUUUUGUAAAGCCUUGUUAAGUUUGCAGCAAUUCUCACUCUCUCACACACACACAGAAAAUUUAGUAAACUUUUGUUCAGUUUGCACCAAUUUUCUCUCUCUCUCUCUCUCUCUCUCACUCACACACACACAGCCAAUUUUGUGAACUCUUGUUCAGUUUGCAUCAGUUCUCUCUCUCACACACAUCCACAUAGCAAAUUUUGCAAACUCUUAUUAAGAAAGUGUUUGCAGAAACAGAUAUUCUUGGAAAAGCAGACAAGGUAAAGGAGUUGCAGCUAAUUACUAUCUUAUGAUGCUUAAUUCAACACAUAUUAAACUGUCUUGUGCAAUAAUGAAUUCAUAUCAUAGACUAUAUUAUCUAUAUUAAUAACAUUAAUGAACUCUAAUCAUUCUUUUGUAUAUUGUCUGUGGAUGUGCAGCUUAGUCUCUGGAGUUUUGUUUUUGACAGGGAACUGUGUUAUUGAAGUUAAAGCCGAGUAGGGAAGGUGAGGAUGAAUUUCGAUUCUGCUUGUUGAUCGUGUGUAGUGAAAUUUGAGAUUUUUCUUUUUUUCCUCUUUUUUUGGUGUUUCCUUUUGUACUAAUUGACAUGUUUGCCUAUGGAAAUAAAUCAUUUGCUCGAGUGAUAUAUACUUAUAUUCAAUUGUGUGUGCUACCAGCAUGGGGAAAAAUUCAACACACUUUUAAAACAAGUAGUGAAAGUUUAGAUUUGGUCUUAUGCAUGAGACCAUUGCGACUUGAAUAAUAUUUGAUACUUUGAAGUUUGUUCAGAUAAAAACUUCUUAUCGUGAGAAUUUUUGCACUGAAUCUGUAAAUAAUUUAGUAUAUUUGUUGAUGAGUGCAGUUGAUGCAAGAAUUUUCGCAAUUUUUACAAUAUGAAAUUUUUUGAGGAGCUUAUAAGCUCCUUUAAAGUAUUUGACAAAAUAAGUUCUUAAAGAGUUUAUGCGCCAUAUUUUUUGACACUAUCUAGUAUCUAGCUCACACAUAAUUUUCAUAAUUUUAUUUAUAGUUUACACCCAGGGGUGGAGCCGGGGGGCCAGUGGGGUCACUAGACCCCCCCUGGAAUUUCCAAAAAUCCCAGGGGUAUUUUAGUAAUUUUACAAAUAUAUUUAAAAAAAUAAAAAAUAUUAAUUUUAUCUAAUUUUUCUAAUUGGAAUUCCAAUCCCUAACUUCUGUGAAUUUCAAUCCUUAACUUUGCU
rnacentral:lncRNA from 1 species